CACUAUAGAGUCUGUCUAACUCUAGGACUGCUUAAAGGAAAGAUAAUCACAAUUGCUACAACAUCAGAGGAUUGUUGAAAAAAGAGAAUGAGCAAGAUAAAGGAAUCCUGGUUUCAUGCUGGAUUCCCAGAAUCCCUUCACAUUAGCCCCCCAGAAGCUUCAGGGAUUGCAUACAAACUCUGGUGACUUCAGAGGUGGUGCUGAUUUCACAUUUGUUCCCGGGACACGAUGAGAGACACAGGAGCCAAAGGAAACACCACCCACAGCAGCGUUCCAGUUGUAACCGAUGUUUGCCUGAGUUUACUUGCUUGUGAUGCAGACAGGUGCACAUUAAAAAUAAUAAUCUUCGAUUCUCUCUGGUUCUUGCUUCUAGAAGCCAAUGCAAGGCCUUCAUCAUCUUCAUUUCAAGGCUUAGGCCGAGUUUCCUGGGAAUCCUGUGAAUCCUUGGAGAAGUCGAUGCUCCAGAUGUGCUUCCAAGUUGAGCGGCUCACCAGCAACCUGAACUUCGCGACGUUUUUGUUUCUCCUUGCAUUUGCAUUCUCAGGGACAGGAGGUUCCGUCGCAAUUGUCCUGGGUUCCAGCCCAUCAAAGCCAGGUGAGUCACGGAUCCCAGGUCUGUUAGUGUCUUCUUUGUGGUUGUCACCAUUGCCACCGUUUUAGAUUUUGCCUCUUUUAGGGAAGCCAGGCUGCAGAGUGGUGAAAGCUUAGAUAGUAGACACCCCCACCUGGCCAUUACCUAGUUUUAAUCUCUCUGGGCCUCAUCUUCUCAUCUACAGCAUGGGAAUCAAAGCUAUUUUAAGAUUAACUGAGUAAAGCAUAAUUUUUCAAGAAGGAAAAUUAGUAUUUUAGUAUCCUGUUUUAUGGCUUUCGGAUCUAACAGUCACUACACACACCUUAGACCAGAGGAUAUAAUGCCUACAUUUCUGUGAAACUCCCUCAAAUUCCACCACUCUGUCCUGCCCACAUUUGGCAGAAAUUUAAUAUUUAAUUUUUUAUUUGAGUCCAGUAUAUUCGACUGCCUGCAGCGGAUACAAGUU
rnacentral:lncRNA from 9 species